rnacentral:rRNA from 1 species
AUUGAACGCUGGCGGCAGGCCUAACACAUGCAAGUCGAGCGGCAGCGGGAAAGUAGCUUGCUACUUUUGCCGGCGAGCGGCGGACGGGUGAGUAAUGCCUGGGGAUCUGCCCAGUCGAGGGGGAUAACAGUUGGAAACGACUGCUAAUACCGCAUACGCCCUACGGGGGAAAGGAGGGGACCUUCGGGCCUUUCGCGAUUGGAUGAACCCAGGUGGGAUUAGCUAGUUGGUGGGGUAAUGGCUCACCAAGGCGACGAUCCCUAGCUGGUCUGAGAGGAUGAUCAGCCACACUGGAACUGAGACACGGUCCAGACUCCUACGGGAGGCAGCAGUGGGGAAUAUUGCACAAUGGGGGAAACCCUGAUGCAGCCAUGCCGCGUGUGUGAAGAAGGCCUUCGGGUUGUAAAGCACUUUCAGCGAGGAGGAAAGGUUGU